rnacentral:tRNA from 1 species
GAGGGUAGAGCUCAGUAGUAGAGCACGUGCUUAGCAUGCACAAGGUCCUGGGUUCAGUCCCCAGUACCUCCA